AAGAAUGUUUGUGAACUUGUUGAGCAAAAAUCAUCUUAGAUUUAAGAGCAAAAUCACUGUCUGCAUAACAGGAUGGUUAUACAUUGAUGCGGAUGACGAUGUUGACGUAGAACUAACACCUUUUUAAGGCUAAAUUGUACAGCGACUACAAAGCUGUUUGUAAGUGUAAAAUGUGAUAUGCUCCUAUCCUACCCACAUAUUCCCACACUGGAAGGACAGCCUGCAUUUAAGUUGCAAAAAAAUCUAUGUGAAUAUUUACAGCAGCUUUAAGGAUCUCUGUGAAAACGACACAUUUGUGACCAUUGAAACAUCCCUAAGCUGAUGACAAGGUAAACCUUCUCUCAACACAAGAAACAGCCCAGAACACGAGCUUGUGCUUGCCCUAUCUCAUGCCACUUUCACAGGCUAAAUGUCUCAAGGGCUUCUUACCCCAAAAGUCCCUAAACUAAGCCUGCAAGUAAGCUUAUGCAAUUGAGGUCAGAGAGCUACAGGGAGUGGUCCCUUGAGAAGAGACCCCCAACUACCACUACUCUUUCCUCCUCUCACUUCUCUAGAAGGCUCCUGAGAGCUUUUCAUAACCUUUUUGUAUAAUAUUUGCUGGUGAGAUUCAUGCAAAUUUCUGAAUUCAGGUGUUGUAGACAUGGUCUCUCAGCAUCUCACCAGCAGUGCAUGUUUCUGACACACUACUGAUUGGCACUGCACUGUGAGUGAUGAGCAGAGGCCAUUGCUGUGACAAGCUGAAAGAACUCUUGUGGGACAUCUCUGCUUCAUGGACCCAUUUUAUGGCAUCUGGAAAGUUCUGCACUGUGCUUUAAGAAAAUCUUUCCAAAUCCAAGAAAAGAGUGGAAACUCCUGUCUGCUUUUAACAUUUCCUCUAUAACUGGU